rnacentral:rRNA from 1 species
UACGGAGGGUGCAAGCGUUAUCCGGAUUCACUGGGCUUAAAGGGUGCGUAGGAGGACUGGUAAGUCAGUGGUGAAAUCCCCGAGCUUAACUUGGGAACUGCCGUUGAUACUAUCAGUCUUGAAUACCGUGGAGGUGAGCGGAAUAUGUCAUGUAGCGGUGAAAUGCUUAGAUAUGACAUAGAACACCAAUUGCGAAGGCAGCUCGCUACACGAAUAUUGACUCUGAGGCACGAAAGCGUGGGGAUCAAACAGG